rnacentral:rRNA from 1 species
CCUACGGGUGGCUGCAGUGGGGGAUAUUGCACAAUGGGGGGAACCCUGAUGCAGCGAAGCCGCGUGGGUGAAGAAGCGCCUCGGCGCGUAAAGCCCUGUCAGCAGGGAAGAAAAUGACGGUACCUGAAGAAGAAGCCCCGGCUAACUACGUGCAAGCAGACGCGGGAAUACGUAGGGGGCAAGCGUUAUCCGGAUUUACUGGGUGUAAAGGGGGCGCAGACGGCGAUGCAAGCCAGGAGUUAAAGUCCGGGGGCCAAACCCGGGAGUGCUUUUGGAACUGCGUGGCUGGAGUGCAGGAGGGGUAGGCGGAAUUCCUGGUGUAGCGGUGAAAUGCGUAGAUAUCAGGCGGAACACCGGUGGCGAAGGCGGCCUGCUGGACUGCAACUGACGUUGAGGCCCGAAAGCGUGGGGAGCAAACAGGAUUAGAUACCCGUGUAGUC